UACGGAGGGUGCAAGCGUUAAUCGGAAUUACUGGGCGUAAAGCGCACGCAGGCGGUCUGUUAAGUCAGAUGUGAAAUCCCCGGGCUUAACCUGGGAACUGCAUUUGAAACUGGCAGGCUUGAGUCUCGUAGAGGGGGGUAGAAUUCCAGGUGUAGCGGUGAAAUGCGUAGAGAUCUGGAGGAAUACCGGUGGCGAAGGCGGCCCCCUGGACAAAGACUGACGCUCAGGUGCGAAAGCGUGGGGAGCAAACAGG
rnacentral:rRNA from 1 species